rnacentral:rRNA from 1 species
AUCUUCUAUAUUGCUCCUUGCCACAGGCGGGUAUAAUAUAGAGAGAAGCUUCCCUGCUGAUAUAUAAUUAGCUGACAAUAACCCGCCGGCGGGUGCGGUCAACUCAGGUUAGUUAUAUUAUCUCCUGCUGCAUCAAGCGAGGAGACUUCCCAAAAGAGGGCGGCCUAGAAGUGUUUGUUUGAAGGGAGGGGAGAAAUUUUCUCCGUGGUAGCAGGCGGAAAAAUCUGAGAUAAUUUUUAGGGAGAACCCCUCGUGGAAAACGCCCCCCCGGAGACUAAACUCCGCAUUCUAAUGCGAAAAACUUGUAUUCGCCCCGGGGGUGGAUUUCCCUCUGCUGGCACUCCCGUAAAAGAUUUUUACACUUAAGGGGGUGUCCCUGGAAGAUUUGUUUACAGGUACUCACCGCUUAAUUCCCAGCGUGGGGGGAAUCCCGUCCCCAAGUUUAAAGGUGAAGAUAAAUCCAAGGGGCCGGGCCCAAGGGGGUGGGCCCGCGGGCAAAGCGGGAUGACGGGGAAAGACCUUUCCCCUUCUUUUCAGAUCAAGAGACUUGAAAAAAGUGGGUUCGGUGCCUUUUCGGAACUUUUGAGCCAGCUCAUCCAUGGAGGUUGUCACCCCCUUUCUUGAAAAGUGGGGUUAAUUCCCCCAAGGACGCCAUCCUUUUUCCUUGGUGGCCGGCGAUUCGGGUGGGCACUCAAAGGAGACUCCCAGUGAUAAACUGGAGGAAGGUGGGGAUGACGUCAAGUCAUCAUGGCCCUUACGCGUAGGGUUACACACGUGCUACAAUGGCCCAUACAAAGAGAAGCGACCUCGCGAGAGCAAGCGGACCUCAUAAAAUGCGUUGGUAGUCCGGAUUGGAGUCUGCAACUCGACUCCAUGAAGUCGGAAUCGCUAGUAAUCGUAGAUCAGAAUGCUACGGUGAAUACGUUCCCGGGCCUUGUACACACCGCCCGGUCACACCAUGGGACGUGGGUGCACAAAGAAGUAGUGUAGCUAACCUCGGAGAGCGUUGACAGAGAUAAGACC